UACGGGGGGGGGCAAGCGUUUGUUCGGAAUUACUGGGCGUAAAGGGCUCGUAGGCGGCCAACUAAGUCGGACGUGAAAUCCCUCGGCUUAACCGGGGAACUGCGUCCGAUACUGGAUGGCUUGAGGUUGGGAGAGGGAUGCGGAAUUCCAGGUGUAGCGGUGAAAUGCGUAGAUAUCUGGAGGAACACCGGUGGCGAAGGCGGCAUCCUGGACCAAUUCUGACGCUGAGUGAGCGAAAGCCAGGGGAGCAAAACGGG
rnacentral:rRNA from 1 species